GACGAACGCUGGCGGCGUGCUUAACACAUGCAAGUCGAACGGGUCUGCCCUGUUUUUUGCGGGGUGGGUCAGUGGCGAACGGGUGAGUAACACGUGAGUAACCUGCCCCUCACUUCUGGAUAACCGCUUGAAGGGGUGGCUAAUACGGGGUGUUCUGGCUGUGCCGCAUGGUGUGGCUGGGAAAGAUUCACUUUUGUGGUGUUUUGGUGGGGGAUGGGCUCGCGGCCUAUCAGCUUGCUGGUGGGGUGAUGGCCUGCCAAGGCUUUGACGGGUAGCCGGCCUGGGAGGGUGGGCGGUCACACUGGGACGGAGAGCCGGCCCAGACUCCUGCGGGAGGCAGCAGUGGGGGGUAUUGCACAAUGGGCGGAAGCCUGAUGCAGCGACGUCGCGUGAGGGAUGGAGGCCUUCGGGUUGUGAACCUCUUUCGCCGGUGAAGAAGGUCCUGCUCUUUGUGGUGGGGUUGACGGUAGCCGGGUUAUGAAGCGCCGGCUAACUACGUG
rnacentral:rRNA from 1 species